UGAGCUUUUGGAAGAAUAAAACGGGGAGAACAACGUUGCGACCAUUGGCAUAUGGUUGAAAAAUCAAGAGGUGUGCGAAAUUUGAUGUUGCUGUGGUCACACCUUCAUUUCAUGGGUUAGGUUCAUCAAGAGACAAAAGGCCACUUUGAUUGCAUAACAGAUUUUAUGUAACUACAGUUCAUGUACAAAAUGUGUUCACUUGCAAGACUUGCGAUUCAAGCUUGAAUUACAGGUGCGAGUUCCAAUAAAAAGCUUUUUUUUUAUGAGAUACAAUAAAACUUGUUUUUUUUUAAGUGCAUUUUUCGAUGGGAAGGCCACUUUGGUUGCAUAAAAGAUUUGAUAUAACUAUUUUAUUUAACUAUCUAUUUAAUUAUUAGACUUGUGAUUCAAGCUUGAAUUACAGGUGCGUUCAAAUUUGUGGGAUACAAUGAAACUUGUUUUCAUUAAAAAAAUGCAAUGUAAA